rnacentral:rRNA from 1 species
AGAGUUUGAUCCUGGCUCAGGAUGAACGCUGGCGGCGCGCCUAACACAUGCAAGUCGAACGGCACCCAUCUUCGGAUGGAAGCGAGUGGCGAACGACUGAGUAACACGUGGAGAACCUGCCCCCUCCCCCGGGAUAGCCGCCCGAAAGGACGGGUAAUACCGGAUACCCCGGGGUGCCGCAUGGCACCCCGGCUAAAGCCCCGACGGGAGGGGAUGGCUCCGCGGCCCAUCAGGUAGACGGCGGGGUGACGGCCCACCGUGCCGACAACGGGUAGCCGGGUUGAGAGACCGACCGGCCAGAUUGGGACUGAGACACGGCCCAGACUCCUACGGGAGGCAGCAGUGGGGAAUCUUGCGCAAUGGGGGGAACCCUGACGCAGCGACGCCGCGUGCGGGACGGAGGCCUUCGGGUCGUAAACCGCUUUCAGCAGGGAAGAGUCAAGACUGUACCUGCAGAAGAAGCCCCGGCUAACUACGUGCCAGCAGCCGCGGUAAUACGUAGGGGGCGAGCGUUAUCCGGAUUCAUUGGGCGUAAAGCGCGCGUAGGCGGCCCGGCAGGCCGGGGGUCGAAGCGGGGGGCUCAACCCCCCGAAGCCCCCGGAACCUCCGCGGCUUGGGUCCGGUAGGGGAGGGUGGAACACCCGGUGUAGCGGUGGAAUGCGCAGAUAUCGGGUGGAACACCGGUGGCGAAGGCGGCCCUCUGGGCCGAGACCGACGCUGAGGCGCGAAAGCUGUGGGAGCGAACAGGAUUAGAUACCCUGGUAGUCCCAGCCGUAAACGAUGGACGCUAGGUGUGGGGGGACGAU